AGCGAACGCUGGCGGCAGGCUUAACACAUGCAAGUCGAGCGCCCCGCAAGGGGCGCGGCAGACGGGAGAGUAACACGUGGGAACAUACCUUUUGGUUCGGAACAACUGAGGGAAACUUCAGCUAAUACCGGAUAAGCCCUUACGGGGAAAGAUUUAUCGCCGAAAGAUUGGCCCGCGUCUGAUUAGCUAGUUGGUGAGGUAACGGCGCACCAAGGCGGCGAUCAGUAGCUGGUCUGAGAGGAUGAUCAGCCUCACUGGGACUGAGACACGGCCCAGACUCCUACGGGAGGCAGCAGUGGGGAAUAUUGGACAAUGGGGGCAACCCUGAUCCAGCCAUGCCGCGUGAGUGAUGAAGGCCUUAGGGUUGUAAAGCUCUUUUGCCCGGGAAGAUAAUGACGGUACCGGGAGAAUAAGCCCCGGCUAACUUCGUG
rnacentral:rRNA from 1 species